rnacentral:rRNA from 1 species
UGCCAGCCGCCGCGGUAAUACGGGGGGAGCAAGCGUUGUCCGGAAUCAUUGGGCGUAAAGAGUCCGUAGGCGGCUUGGUAGGUGACGUGUGAAAUCCCACGGCUCAACCGUGGAAUUGCGCGUCAAACCAUCAGGCUAGAGGGAGAUAGAGGAAAGCGGAACUGAUGGUGGAGCGGUGAAAUGCGUUGAUAUCAUCAGGAACACCGGUGGCGAAGGCGGCUUUCUGGGUCUCUUCUGACGCUGAGGGACGAGAGCUAGGGGAGCGAACAGGAUUAGAUA